rnacentral:rRNA from 1 species
CCGACGGUGAGAGGUGAAAGCUGGGGGCACGAACCGGAUUAGAUACCCGGGUAGUCCCAGCCGUAAACGAUGCUCGCUAGGUGUCUGGGAUGGUGCGACCGUUUCAGGUGCCGCAGGGAAGCCGUGAAGCGAGCCACCUGGGAAGUACGGCCGCAAGGCUGAAACUUAAAGGAAUUGGCGGGGGAGCACUACAACGGGUGGAGCCUGCGGUUUAAUUGGACUCAACGCCGGAAAACUCGCCUGGGGC